UGGGGAAUUUUGGACAAUGGGGGAAACCCUGAUCCAGCCAUCCCGCGUGUGCGAUGAAGGCCUUCGGGUUGUAAAGCACUUUUGGCAGGAAAGAAACGUCGCGGGUUAAUACCCCGCGAAACUGACGGUACCUGCAGAAUAAGCACCGGCUAACUACGUGCCAGCAGCCGCGGUAAUACGUAGGGUGCAAGCGUUAAUCGGAAUUACUGGGCGUAAAGCGUGCGCAGGCGGUUCGGAAAGAAAGAUNUGAAAUCCCAGAGCUUAACUUUGGAACUGCAUUUUUAACUACCGGGCUAGAGUGUGUCAGAGGGAGGUGGAAUUCCGCGUGUAGCAGUGAAAUGCGUAGAUAUGCGGAGGAACACCGAUGGCGAAGGCAGCCUCCUGGGAUAACACUGACGCUCAUGCACGAAAGCGUGGGGAGCAAACAGGAUUAGAUACCCUGGUAGUCCACGCCCUAAACGAUGUCAACUAGCUGUUGGGGCCUUCGGGCCUUGGUAGCGCAGCUAACGCGUGAAGUUGACCGCCUGGGGAGU
rnacentral:rRNA from 1 species